UACGAAGGGGGCUAGCGUUGUUCGGAUUUACUGGGCGUAAAGCGCACGUAGGCGGAUCGUUAAGUCAGGGGUGAAAUCCUGGAGCUCAACUCCAGAACUGCCUUUGAUACUGAGGAUCUUGAGUUCGGGAGAGGUGAGUGGAACUGCGAGUGUAGAGGUGAAAUUCGUAGAUAUUCGCAAGAACACCAGUGGCGAAGGCGGCUCACUGGCCCGAUACUGACGCUGAGGCACGAAAGCGUGGGGAGCGAACAGG
rnacentral:rRNA from 1 species